UUUAAUGAGAGUUUGAUCCUGGCUCAGGACGAACGCUGGCGGCGUGCCUAAUACAUGCAAGUAGAACGCUGAAGAGAGGAGCUUGCUCUUCUUGGAUGAGUUGCGAACGGGUGAGUAACGCGUAGGUAACCUGCCUUGUAGCGGGGGAUAACUAUUGGAAACGAUAGCUAAUACCGCAUAACAAUGAAUGACUCAUGUCAUUUAUUUGAAAGGGGCAAUUGCUCCACUACAAGAUGGACCUGCGUUGUAUUAGCUAGUAGGUGAGGUAACGGCUCACCUAGGCGACGAUACAUAGCCGACCUGAGAGGGUGAUCGGCCACACUGGGACUGAGACACGGCCCAGACUCCUACGGGAGGCAGCAGUAGGGAAUCUUCGGCAAUGGGGGCAACCCUGACCGAGCAACGCCGCGUGAGUGAAGAAGGUUUUCGGAUCGUAAAGCUCUGUUGUAAGUCAAGAACGAGUGUGAGAGUGGAAAGUUCACACUGUGACGGUAGCUUACCAGAAAGGGACGGCUAACUACGUGCCAGCAGCCGCGGUAAUACGUAGGUCCCGAGCGUUGUCCGGAUUUAUUGGGCGUAAAGCGAGCGCAGGCGGUUUGAUAAGUCUGAAGUUAAAGGCUGUGGCUCAACCAUAGUUCGCUUUGGAAACUGUCAAACUUGAGUGCAGAAGGGGAGAGUGGAAUUCCAUGUGUAGCGGUGAAAUGCGUAGAUAUAUGGAGGAACACCGGUGGCGAAAGCGGCUCUCUGGUCUGUAACUGACGCUGAGGCUCGAAAGCGUGGGGAGCGAACAGGAUUAGAUACCCUGGUAGUCCACGCCGUAAACGAUGAGUGCUAGGUGUUGGAUCCUUUCCGGGAUUCAGUGCCGCAGCUAACGCAUUAAGCACUCCGCCUGGGGAGUACGACCGCAAGGUUGAAACUCAAAGGAAUUGACGGGGGCCCGCACAAGCGGUGGAGCAUGUGGUUAGGUGGUGCAUGGUUGUCGUCAGCUCGUGUCGUGAGAUGUUGGGUUAAGUCCCGCAACGAGCGCAACCCCUAUUGUUAGUUGCCAUCAUUCAGUUGGGCACUCUAGCGAGACUGCCGGUAAUAAACCGGAGGAAGGUGGGGAUGACGUCAAAUCAUCAUGCCCCUUAUGACCUGGGCUACACACGUGCUACAAUGGUUGGUACAACGAGUUGCGAGUCGGUGACGGCAAGCUAAUCUCUUAAAGCCAAUCUCAGUUCGGAUUGUAGGCUGCAACUCGCCUACAUGAAGUCGGAAUCGCUAGUAAUCGCGGAUCAGCACGCCGCGGUGAAUACGUUCCCGGGCCUUGUACACACCGCCCGUCACACCACGAGAGUUUGUAACACCCGAACUUGAGUUUCUUAUUUAGUUUUGAGAGGUCUUGUGGGGCCUUAGCUCAGCUGGGAGAGCGCCUGCUUU
rnacentral:rRNA from 1 species